CUCAUGCAUCGAUUGAAGGGAGAUAUAAUAAAUAAAAAAUAUAACGAUAUAACGAUUUUUUAUAAUCGUUUUCAUGACAGGUGAUCUGGCGAAUGCAUCAAACAGUGACCAAAUUUGCACCAAAUCUCCUUUUCAUAUCUUCAUAUCAUAUAGGUACCUAUUUAUUUCAGUGUUUUAAUCGAAAAUAAUGUCUGAUAAUUUUAUCAAAUCGGCACCGUAUCUGGACCAAAUGUCUACCAAUUGUGUACCAGUUACCUAUCAUGAAAACGGUUAUUCGCAGACAUUUGAUUGUAGACAUUGGAUCUAUGUAAUUUUCGACCUAAAAGAGAGGAAAAGCCGUCUUGGUUUACGGGGCCUGCUAAGCCGUGUGGAUGAGGACACGCAUACGCCAUUACUUUGAACGAACGUUGGUGCCCUUAUUUCAUGAGGUAAAAACAACUUUGACAACUUUCAGGAUCUAUGUUUCUUCUCGCACUGCUGUGGCAUAAACAUUACGUUUUCUUUCUUCUGUCAUCACUCAUCGCAUUGAAAUUACAAAAGCAUCAAAAUUUCAACAACACACUGCUUACGACUUAGAAGUGUCGCCUCAACGCAGCGAGGGGAGGGGAGGGAGGGGUAGCAACGGCCGGCCGCCGUCGGUUCCGUCCGCACAUCUGGUUGAGGGGCGUCUCCUGUCGCCAUCUGUCAUCGUGAAUGGGGCCGUGCUGACGCGUCAGACGGGACGAACGGGGGAAGUCGGUCCAGAGUCACUGCGCCGCGCGGUUGUGUGAGCAAGCCGUGGGCUAGGUACCGCUCCAGGUCAGACAAUGGUUGGCACUGAAGAGUGCGGUGACACUACAGAGCUGUGAACGAAGACGGUGAACGGCGAGAUGUGGUGACCGCUUGACUGACCUGUGCCCAAAGUCGUGAUCUACCGCUGGGGUCAGUGCAUGAGAAGCUGGACUCGGCAACAACGGAGGACGCAGAUCGACGAGGAAGAUAUGCUGUGUUGAGGGACGUCUGCCGGUUACGACCGGAAGGCUUCCGACGGACUUGGCAGAACCCACAACAGCAGUAUGAACCCGGCGUGGAGUUAAUGCGUAAUUGCUCGCAUGAGCAACCGAAGAGCGACUUCCAGGCGAAGCUGCCGCAGAAUUCCUGGAGAUGCGCUGGGACAUGGAUCUAUAGCAAGGUGGCUCUCAGCGGCAGCUGACCGCUGAGAUGUGUCUGAAACAGCCAGAAGGAGCGUUACCGGGCUUGGGCGGUCCGGUCGAUCGACGAUCACUUUGACUUGUUUUGCAACAUAAAUAUUUUUAUUCCGUUCUUCUUGUUCCAUUGUGUUUCAUCAUUAUUAUUGUUGCUAAAUACGUUAAGUACUUCUCGUUUAGCAAGCGGCGCCAUGAUUUAAGUGCGUAGCACUUUUGCGCCAAUUGCAUACUUUAUUUGUUAUAUUCAUCUGUUUGUUAUUGAAUAAAUGGUCUCUCUCUCUCUCUCUCAAGGAAGACUCGAGUUGUGGAUCCAGGGCACUACUGAACGGAAGGCCGGACCAGCUGCAUAGGGAGACUACAGAAAAGCCGUCGUUCUCAAUCUGCUGAACAGACUCCUACUGCAGAGGAUCAACUGGGGUUCGACGUGUUAGAACUGGGGUUAGACCGGUUACCAGUGCUCGUGUUCGUCACCUGUUGUUUGUCACUGCUGCGCUGCUGCUGUAAUGUUUGCCACCUGCUAAGCGUUCACAAUGUAUUUUAAGUGAAUAAUAACUUUUUUUAUUGUUUGUCUUGAUUUGUAACGAGUAUAUCAGUUAUCAAGCAUGUUAACCUUUCAUCAAAUGAAGGACUCCACAUAAAAAUAGUAUAGGCUGUGGUGGUACAGACACAUACCAUGCUUGGCCGACUGUUGUGUAUUGAUCUAGUCGUUGAAGCGUCCUGAAAGUCUGGAAAUAAACAGGCAUGGCCAAAUGGAUUGGU